rnacentral:rRNA from 1 species
UACGUAGGGCGCAAGCGUUGUCCGGAAUUAUUGGGCGUAAAGAGCUCGUAGGCGGCUUGUCACGUCGGGUGUGAAAGCCCGGGGCUUAACCCCGGGUCUGCAUUCGAUACGGGCAGACUAGAGUUCGGUAGGGGAGACUGGAAUUCCUGGUGUAGCGGUGAAAUGCGCAGAUAUCAGGAGGAACACCAAUGGCGAAGGCAGCACUCUGGGACGUGACUGACGCUGAGACGCGAAAGCGUGGGGAGCAAACAGG